GCAUAUCAAUAAGCGGAGGAAAAGAAACCAACAGGGAUUGCCCUAGUAACGGCGAAGUGAAGCGGCAACAGCUCAAAUUUGAAAUCUGGCUUCGGCCCGAGUUGUAAUUUGCAGAGGAUGUUUAUGGUGCGGUGCCUACCGAGUUCCCUGGAACGGGACGCCACAGAGGGUGAGAGCCCCGUCUGGUAGGACACUAAACCUGUGUUAAACUCCUUCAACGAGUCGAGUAGUUUGGGAAUGCUGCUCUAAAUGGGAGGUAAAUCUCUUCUAAAGCUAAAUACUGGCCAGAGACCGAUAGCGCACAAGUAGAGUGAUCGAAAGAUGAAAAGCACCUUGAAAAGGGGGUUAAACAGUACGUGAAAUUGUUGAAAGGGAAGCGUUUAUGACCAGACUUGUGUCGUGUGGCUCAUCCGAGGUUCUCCCCGGUGCACUCCACGCGGCUCAGGCCAACAUCGGUUGUCGUUGGGGGAUAAGAACAGUAGGAACGUGGCUCCCCUCGGGGAGUGUUAUAGCCUAUUGUACGAUACCCUGAUGGCGACCGAGGACCGCGCUUCGGCUAGGAUGUUGGCGUAAUGGUCAUUAGCGACCCGUCUUGAAACACGGACCAAGGAGUCGUCCAUUAGAGCGAGCGUUUGGGUGUAAAACCCGCACGCGUAAUGAAAGUGAAAUUAGGUGAGAGCUUCGGCGCAUCAUCGACCGAUCCUGAAGUUUACGGAUGGAUUUGAGUAAGAGUUUUAACGGACGGACCCGAAAGACAGUGAACUAUGCUUGAAUAGGGUGAAGCCAGAGGAAACUCUGGUGGAGGCUCGCAGCGGUUCUGACGUGCAAAUCGAUCGUCAAAUUUGAGCAUGGGGGGCGAAAGACUAAUCGAACUGUCUAGUAGCUGGUUACCGCGA
rnacentral:rRNA from 1 species